rnacentral:lncRNA from 1 species
CUUUGGAAAAUGUAGAAACUCUGGUAAUGCAAUGCUCACAUUGACCUUUGGCUAGAACUGGUAAAUAUCUGUCCCUUUUAGAUCAGUCAUGUUUGCUGCCAUCCCCACUGUGCUCUAUCUCCCCCUCAUGUAUCUAUGCUACAUACCUGGUCUUGCAGGGAUGUGAGAUUGUAGCUCCUAUAUAUGCAUCGGGUUUGGUGUGUUUAAAAGAUCCAGUCCUCUCUUUUAGAAUAAGAGGAAAGAAGCCCCUGAUUUUGCAGUCAGUGAUUAUGGAAGGUUUUAAUAAAGCAACACAAUGUAAAAGGUGGUUCUGAAAUCUGGUUGCUCAAUAAAACUACCUGGAGACCAUUUUCCAUAUGCAGAUUCUGGACUGAAUCUCAGACCGCCUACAUCAGAAUCUUGGCUAUGUAGAGACCAGGAAUCUGCAUUUUUCAAAGCUCUCAGGUGAUUCUUGAAGUAUGAAUUUCCUAUCCCACUGGAGAUGUUUGAAGCUUGUUUCUUUAAAAUGUUUUUCUCAAUAAAAUUGGAAUGAUUUGCAACAUUUUGCAAAACUAAGGGUUUGAAAUGUGUUAAAUUCGUUGUAUUUAAGUAUCUACAAGUGAAGAGUGGCCAACAAGGUAUUUCCUUUUAAUAAGAGCAGAGAAAUAACAGCCAAUUUAUGUUAGUGAGAUAUUUUAUUUAUCUAGACAGUAUAUUCAUAAAACCUUUUUUCUCUGUUUUGGUGGUGAAUGGGAACAAGCUGAGGUCCUUACUGAACUGCUGAUGGGGCCUGCGGAAUACCAUACUCCAGGGAUAAUACUGGUUAAAUUGAGACGUAAUCUACAGUUCUUAAACAACUGUUUCUAGCUUUUCUUCUUUACGUGCCAGGCAUGGUAUUCUGAAGGCCCUCAAGAAAUGUUUAUUAAUUGAAUCAUUAAAGAAGUAUCUGAUAUUUGUGCCAUUUUAUUAAGUAAGAGAAUACAUAUGAUUACAGCACUCUCUUCAGCACUGGGCUCUGAGAGUUCUUCCAAGGGUGUUUCAAAAACCACUGCAUGCAAAAGAGGAGCCACAGUGAGUGAGGGAGAAGAAGCAGAUAAUACAAGAGCCCUCAGCCAACAAGACUAGACUUAAUUGUCCCUCAAUUCUCUAACCAAUUGCCCUAAAAGAGACUUCUCUGGUUUUCUUCUUCUGUUUGGAUCAAGACAUCUGGAUAGGACAGAAGAAUCUUU